GACGAACGCUGGCGGCGUGCUUAACACAUGCAAGUCGAACGGAAAGGCCCUGCUUUUGUGGGGUUCUCGAGUGGCGAACGGGUGAGUAACACGUGAGUAACCUGCCCUUGACUUUGUGAUAACUUCAGGAAACUGGGGCUAAUACCGGAUAGGAGCUCCUGCUGCAUGGUGGGGGUUGGAAAGUUUCGGCUGUUGGGGAUGGACUCGCGGCUUAUCAGCUUGUUGGUGGGGUAGUGGCUUACCAAGGCUAUGACGGGUAGCCGGCCUGAGAGGGUGACCGGCCACAUUGGGACUGAGAUACGGCCCAGACUCCUACGGGAGGCAGCAGUGGGGAAUAUUGCACAAUGGGCGGAAGCCUGAUGCAGAAACGCCGCGUGCGGGAUGACGGCCUUCGGGUUGUAAACCGCUGUCGCCUGUGACGAAGCGUGAGUGACGGUAAUGGGUAAAGAAGCACCGGCUAACUACGUG
rnacentral:rRNA from 1 species